rnacentral:rRNA from 1 species
UACGAAGGGGGCUAGCGUUGCUCGGAAUCACUGGGCGUAAAGGGUGCGUAGGCGGGUCUUUAAGUCAGAGGUGAAAUCCUGGAGCUCAACUCCAGAACUGCCUUCGAUACUGGCGAUCUUGAGUCCGGAAGAGGUGAGUGGAACUCCUAGUGUAGAGGUGGAAUUCGUAGAUAUUAGGAAGAACACCAGUGGCGAAGGCGGCUCACUGGUCCGGUACUGACGCUGAGGUGCGAAAGCGUGGGGAGCAAACAGG